rnacentral:rRNA from 1 species
GAUGAACGCUGGCGGCGUGCCUAACACAUGCAAGUCGAGCGAUUCUCUUCGGAGAAGAGCGGCGGACGGGUGAGUAACGCGUGGGUAACCUGCCCUGUACACACGGAUAACAUACCGAAAGGUAUGCUAAUACGAGAUGAUAUAUGGAAGUUGCAUGACUUUUAUAUCAAAGCUUUUGCGGUACAGGAUGGACCCGCGUCUGAUUAGCUAGUUGGUAAGGUAACGGCUUACCAAGGCGACGAUCAGUAGCCGACCUGAGAGGGUGAUCGGCCACACUGGAACUGAGACACGGUCCAGACUCCUACGGGAGGCAGCAGUGGGGAAUAUUGCACAAUGGGCGAAAGCCUGAUGCAGCAACGCCGCGUGAGCGAUGAAGGCCUUCGGGUCGUAAAGCUYUGUCCUCAAGGAAGAUAAUGACGGUACUGAGGAGAAGCCCCG